rnacentral:rRNA from 1 species
UACGGGGGGAGCAAGCGUUGUUCGGAUUACUGGGCGUAAAGGGCGCGUAGGCGGUCGUGACAAGUCACUUGUGAAAUCUCCGGGCUUAACUCGGAACGGUCAAGUGAUACUGGUCGGACUAGAGUACAGAAGGGGCAACUGGAAUUCUCGGUGUAGCGGUGAAAUGCGUAGAUAUCGAGAGGAACACCUGCGGCGAAGGCGGGUUGCUGGGCUGAUACUGACGCUGAGGCGCGAAAGCCAGGGGAGCGAACGGG